rnacentral:rRNA from 1 species
CCUACGGGAGGCAGCAGUAGGGAAUCUUUCACAAUGGGCGAAAGCCUGAUGGAGCAACGCCGCGUGCAGGAUGAAGGCCUUCGGGUUGUAAACUGCUUUUAUAAGCGAGAAAUAUGAUGGUAACUUAUGAAUAAGGAUCGGCUAACUACGUGCCAGCAGCCGCGGUCAUACGUAGGAUCCGAGCAUUAUCCGGAGUGACUGGGUGUAAAGAGUUGCGUAGGUGGCAUAAUAAGUAGCUAGUGAAAUCUGGUGGCUCAACCAUUCAGACUAUUGGCUAAACUGUUAAGCUCGAGACCGUUAGGGGUAACUGGAAUUUCUAGUGUAGGAGUGAAAUCCGUAGAGAUUAGAAGGAACACCAAUAGCGUAGGCAGGUUGCUGGGACGGUUCUGACACUAAGGCACGAAAGCGUAGGGAGCAAACGGGAUUAGAUACCCCGGUAGUC